GUUGGUGAACCAGCGGAGGGAUCAUUACCGAGUUUUCUACUCCCAAACCCCUGUGAACUUAUACCUUUACCGUUGCUUCGGCGGGUUAACGCCCCGGAAAGGCCCCCGAAAGGGAGCCGCCCCGGAACCAGGCGCCCGCCGGGGGACCCAAACUCUUGUAUUUUCUUACCUAGCAUGUCUGAGUGGAAUCAUAAACAAAUGAAUCAAAACUUUCAACAACGGAUCUCUUGGUUCUGGCAUCGAUGAAGAA
rnacentral:misc_RNA from 1 species